rnacentral:rRNA from 1 species
GGAUCCAGACUUUGAUUCUGGCUCAGGAUGAACGCUAGCUACAGGCUUAACACAUGCAAGUCGAGGGGCAGCAUGUCGGUUGCUUGCAACCGAUGAUGGCGACCGGCGCACGGGUGAGUAACGCGUAUCCAACCUACCCUUGUCCAUCGGAUAACCCGUCGAAAGGCGGCCUAACACGAUAUGCGGUUCACAGCAGACAUCUAACGUGAACGAAAUGUAAAGGAGAAGGAUGGGGAUGCGUCUGAUUAGCUUGUUGGCGGGGUAACGGCCCACCAAGGCGACGAUCAGUAGGGGUUCUGAGAGGAAGGUCCCCCACAUUGGAACUGAGACACGGUCCAAACUCCUACGGGAGGCAGCAGUGAGGAAUAUUGGUCAAUGGACGAGAGUCUGAACCAGCCAAGUAGCGUGCAGGAUGACGGCCCUAUGGGUUGUAAACUGCUUUUAUAGGGGGAUAAAGUGUGCCACGUGUGGCAUAUUGCAGGUACCCUAUGAAUAAGGACCGGCUAAUUCCGUGCCAGCAGCCGCGGUAAUACGGAAGGUCCGGGCGUUAUCCGGAUUUAUUGGGUUUAAAGGGAGCGUAGGCCGUCUUAUAAGCGUGUUGUGAAAUGUCGGGGCUCAACCUGGGCAUUGCAGCGCGAACUGUGAGACUUGAGUGCGCAGGAAGUAGGCGGAAUUCGUCGUGUAGCGGUGAAAUGCUUAGAUAUGACGAAGAACUCCGAUUGCGAAGGCAGCCUGCUGUAGCGCAACUGACGCUGAAGCUCGAAAGCG